AUCCAGCUGACGAGUUCCAAAUAGGACGAAAUGCGCGUCCUGGAU
rfam:Schistosoma mansoni strain Puerto Rico chromosome 1, complete genome